UUUAUUACAAAGACAAUAGAGAACAAUUGAAGGAGAUCACAACUGAAGAGAGAGCAGAAUUCAAAAUGACAGAAAGCAAAAGGUUAUAGUGUUGCUGUUUAUGGUAUUGGGUCAUUGUAUGAUGUUCCAGGAGACAAAGAGGAUGAAGAUUGAGUACAUUUAGUGGCAAA